AUUUAACAAGGAAACACUACUUAGGCUUUUGAGAUC
rnacentral:sRNA from 1 species